UCCCAAGCAAGGAGAACAGCUUCCUGAUAACCUCUCUCAGCUACCCACACUUGCAGCUCCCGAUGCCCUUCCCCAGGAGGGAGGGCGAAAACAAGACUGUAAGGACUCCUCAGAGAUUAGAGGCUCCCUUCCCUCAGAACCUGCCCUACCUCAUGGUGAUGACAGAGAUAAGAUCACAGAUUGUUGAGCUUGAAGAGUCCACUGAGGCUCAUCAAAUAUAUCUCUCUGUGUGAAGUACCCCACAAAAGAGCUAAUCUCACUUAAGGGGAUGAAGUUGAAGGCUGGAUUCCUAACAGACAUUUGGGUAGAAUUUGCUAAUUAUUCUGAACCACUUCCUCUGCCCCAACCCAGAUCCACA